rnacentral:rRNA from 1 species
UACGGAGGAUCCAAGCGUUAUCCGGAUUUACUGGGCUUAAAGGGUGUGUAGGCGGGCUUUUAAGUCAGCGGUGAAAUCUCCGGGCUCAACCCGGAAACUGCCAUUGAUACUAUUAGUCUUGAAUUUUGUUGAGGUAGGCGGAAUAAGUCAUGUAGCGGUGAAAUGCAUAGAUAUGACUUAGAACACCAAUUGCGAAGGCAGCUUGCUAAACAAAUAUUGACGCUGAGGCACGAAAGCGUGGGGAUCAAACAGG